AUCGCUACCCCUUCCCGCUUCUCCAUGUGGGCACCAAUGAUACUGCCAAGAAUGACAUUGAGCAGAUCACUGCAGACUACGUGGCUCUGGGAAGAAGGAUAAAGUAGUUUGAGGUGCAAGUGAUCUUCUCGUCCAUCCUCCCUGUGGAAGGAAAAGGCCUGGGAAGAGACCAUCAAAUCGUGGAAGUCAACGAAUGGCUACGUAGGUGGUGUCUGAGAGAAGGCUUUGGAUUCUUUGACCAUGGGAUGGUGUUCCAAUAAGGAGGAGUGCUAGGCAGAGACGGGCUCCACCUAAUGAAGAGAGGGAAGAGCAUCUUCGCAAGCAGGCUGGCUAACCUAGUGAGGAGGGCUUUAAACUAGGUUCACUGGGGGAAGGACACCAAAGCCCUGAGCCUUUGUGGUUGUAACAUGAGCACAAAACCAUCAUCCUGAGUCUGAAGACAGAAACAGGAGCUCUAAGAAAGGUUUUCUUCAACACCACUACAGAGCUCUGUCUCAGGCUGAGGAUGGUUGAGAAGGAACUGAAGGGGUUGGGUCGUGUGCGUGCUACAUGAGGCACCAAUGGUGCUGCGAGACAGCUAUUGGGCACGCACGCACAGACCAGGCACUGCUACGGAAGAUCUCCGAUCAACAGCACCGGGACAUACCGACACCUGAAGUGGAGCACCCACAGGGACAGCACUCAAAGAAGAAACAUAUCUCUUAAAGAAUAUGUCUACACUGAAAUUGUGGGGUGUAAUUGUUGGUAUAGACAUACCUAAACUAAGUUUUAAUCUAGCUAUUUUGUGUACCAGAGCAGAGAAACUGUGGCUAGAUUAAAGCUAGAGGAGGUAUGUCUACUGAAGAUGCAGUCAUACCCCAUGAUUACAGCAUAGAAAUACCCAAAGUGGCCAAAUUAUUUUAAUUUCUUCUUUUUUGAAAAGAUAGCUCUUGGUCUGAGAAGCUGUUUGCUGUCAGCCUAGACAGGAUUUAAAGCUAAAACUUCAAAAAUUAUCAAAACACUAAUUUAUAAUGGAAACAGUAAGAGGCCACUACCUAGAAUGGCACAUAUAUUCCUGAAACAAUCAAACUAUUUAAAUGAGUCGGGCAAGCAGAAUUUGGCCCCUAAUUUGGAGUUUAGAUGGCGUAUCAAAGAAACAAGGGAAAAUCUGAGAAAACACACACACUUGCAGAAAAAGGAGUUUGUCACUAGGUGGAGCUGUGUAUCAUUGUAAUGGUUGCCCUAAAGACAAUUCUCAGUGUAAAGCUAAAUUCCCCUGUAAAUGGUAUUUAAAACACAUCACUGUUCAAAGAUGUUUCUUCUCCAUUAAAAGCAUAUCACCGCUUUGAUCUAUAAAGGAACUGUUGUCAAUGUCUGUCAUAAAUAUAAAGGGAAGGGUAAACACCUUUUAAAAUCCCUCCUGGCUGGAGGAAAAAUCCUUUCACCUGUAAAGCGUUAAGAAGCUAGGAUAACCUUGCUGGCACCUGACCAAAAUGACCAAUGAGGAGACAAGAUACUUUCAAAAGCUGGGAGGAGGGAGAAAAACAAAGGGUCUGCGUCUGUCUGGUGAUGCUUUUGCCGGGGACAGAACAGGAAUGAAGUCUUAGAAAUUAGUAGGUACUCUAGCUAGAUAUGCAUUAGAUUAUGAUUUCUUUAAAUGGCUGAGAAAAUAAGCUGUGCUGAAUAGAAUGGAUAUUCCUCUCUGUGUGUCUUUUUGUAACUUAAGGUUUUGCCUAGAGGGAUUCUCUAUGUUUUGAAUCUAAUUACCCUGUAAGGUAUUUACCAUCCAGAUUUUACA